GACCGUGUGGCGUAAUGGUAUCGCGCCUGAACGCCGAACAAGCUUUGUGUACUAGGGAGAUAUGGGUAUCGAAUCCCAUCACGGUCG